rnacentral:lncRNA from 1 species
CCUGCCCAGAGGAACGGAAGGAUGUCACCUCCAGGCAGGUUGAGGGGACCAGAGGACGUGAUCUUAGAAGAGAUUCAACCUCAUCCUUUUUAAGGAAGUCUUAGUAAGUCACCUGCAGGGUGGUCUGCUGCUGCUGGCCGAAUCGCUUGAUGAGGUCCUGCACGGCCUCCACCGACUCGGCGUACACGUCGUCCAGCAGUUCCUUCUGUAACUCCUCCAGCCAUGUCCAGAGCUGCAGACAGACAGACGGCAGAGGGCACUGUGAGUGAGGGCUGCAGACACCAGGCCACUCACAUGGGGAAGAGGAUGGUGGCGGGCUGCUCCCCGAGAGAGGGAAGGAAGAAAGAAAGGAAGGAAGGAAGAAGGGGGAGGGAAAAGGAGAGAGAGCGUCCUGAAGAGUCCAGCAACUAGUGGGACACAUGCAGAGAGAGCGCAACAUGCCACUGCAGUGUGGGGCAAAAAUAAACCGGCAGCGUGGCGGAAGAGGCUGUCACCGGGGAGAAAAAGGAAAGGGAAGAGAAGGCACGCUGCCCUUCUGCAGAGGCCCAGUCUGAGCACCGUGGAAACACCGAGUCACUCGGACAACAGGAACAUCCGUCAUCGAGCACAGAGGCGCUUGCUCAGAGACCUGACUCCUGCUUUGGUCUCAGCAGAGGUACGACACUUCACUAUUAAGCCACCAGUCAGACACUGGUGCUUCAGGUCCCUCGAAGCAGAGCAGAGAACACCAGGUUAAACUAUUCCCCACCACAGCUGCGUGAUGGAGAGGACCGUACCCAGGACCAGCUGCCUGUCACGCAGCGUGUUCAUCCUACUAUGGGAAGACAGUGUGAUCACAGUGGGUCUUGGCUCCUCCCAUCUAGGAUUUGGAACCUGAAUUCUAUGUCUAUAUUUUCCAAAACAGAAGAGCUUAAAACAUC